AACGAACGCUGGCGGCAUGCCUAACACAUGCAAGUCGAACGAGACCUUCGGGUCUAGUGGCGCACGGGUGCGUAACGCGUGGGAACCUGCCCUUAGGUUCGGAAUAACUCCCCGAAAGGGGUGCUAAUACCGGAUAAUGUCUUCGGACCAAAGAUUUAUCGCCUUUGGAUGGGCCCGCGUUGGAUUAGCUAGUUGGUAGGGUAAAAGCCUACCAAGGCGACGAUCCAUAGCUGGUCUGAGAGGAUGAUCAGCCACACUGGGACUGAGACACGGCCCAGACUCCUACGGGAAGCAGCAGUGGAGAAUAUUGGACAAUGGGCGAAAGCCUGAUCCAGCAAUGCCGCGUGAGUGAUGAAGGCCUUAGGGUUGUAAAGCUCUUUUACCCGGGAUGAUAAUGACAGUACCGGGAGAAUAAGCUCCGGCUAACUCCGUA
rnacentral:rRNA from 1 species